rnacentral:rRNA from 1 species
UACGAAGGGGGCUAGCGUUGUUCGGAAUUACUGGGCGUAAAGCGCGCGCAGGCGGUCUUCCAAGUCAGUGGUGAAAGCCCGGAGCUCAACUCCGGAACUGCCAUUGAAACUGGGGGACUGGAGUAUGAGAGAGGUGAGUGGAAUUCCCAGUGUAGAGGUGAAAUUCGUAGAUAUUGGGAAGAACACCGGUGGCGAAGGCGGCUCACUGGCUCAUUACUGACGCUCAGGCGCGACAGCGUGGGGAU